rnacentral:rRNA from 1 species
UACAGAGGGUGCGAGCGUUGUCCGGAAUCACUGGGCGUAAAGGGCGCGUAGGCGGCUCGGUCAGCGUGCGGUGAAAGCCCGGAGCUCAACUCCGGGUCUGCCGCGGAUACUGCGAGGCUUGAGUGCUGUAGAGGGGGGGUAGAAUGCCGGGUGUAGCGGUGGAAUGCGUAGAGAUCCGGCAGAAGACCGGUGGCGAAGGCGGCCCCCCUGGGCAGUAACUGACACUGAGGCGCGACAGCGUGGGGAGCAAACAGG